CAGUCGCCACGGGAAUACAGAGGGUGCGAGCGUUAAUCGGAUUUACUGGGCGUAAAGCGUGCGUAGGCGGCUUUUUAAGUCGGAUGUGAAAUCCCUGAGCUUAACUUAGGAAUUGCAUUCGAUACUUGGAAGCUAGAGUAUGGGAGAGGAUGGUAGAAUUCCAGGUGUAGCGGUGAAAUGCGUAGAGAUCUGGAGGAAUACCGAUGGCGAAGGCAGCCAUCUGGCCUAAUACUGACGCUGAGGUACGAAAGCAUGGGGAGCAAACAGGAUUAGAUACCCGAGUAGUCCCUGUCUCUUAUAC
rnacentral:rRNA from 1 species